rnacentral:rRNA from 1 species
CCUACGGGUGGCUGCAGUGGGGAAUAUUGGACAAUGGGGGCAACCCUGAUCCAGCCAUGCCGCGUGUGUGAAGAAGGCCCUCGGGUUGUAAAGCACUUUCAGUGAGGAAGAACGCCUGGUGGUUAAUACCCAUCAGGAAAGACAUCACUCACAGAAGAAGCACCGGCUAACUCCGUGCCAGUAGCCGCGGUAAUACGGAGGGUGCGAGCGUUAAUCGGAAUUACUGGGCGUAAAGCGCGCGUAGGUGGCUUGAUAAGCCGGUUGUGAAAGCCCCGGGCUCAACCUGGGAACGGCAUCCGGAACUGUCAAGCUAGAGUGCAGGAGAGGAAGGUAGAAUUCCCGGUGUAGCGGUGAAAUGCGUAGAGAUCGGGAGGAAUACCAGUGGCGAAGGCGGCCUUCUGGACUGACACUGACACUGAGGUGCGAAAGCGUGGGUAGCAAACAGGAUUAGAUACCCCAGUAGUC